rnacentral:rRNA from 1 species
UGAGGAAUAUUGCGCAAUGGGCGAAAGCCUGACGCAGCAACGCCGCGUGGGCGAUGAAGGCCUUCGGGUUGUAAAGCCCUUUUCUAAGGGAAGAGGAAGGACGGUACCUUAGGAAUAAGCCACGGCUAACUACGUGCCAGCAGCCGCGGUAACACGUAGGUGGCGAGCGUUAUCCGGAUUUACUGGGCGUAAAGCGCGUGCAGGCGGCUUCGUAAGUCGAACGUUAAAUCUCUCGGCUCAACCGAGAGGGGUCGUCCGAAACUGCGAGGCUUGAGGUCGGGAGAGGGAAGUGGAAUUCCCGGUGUAGUAGUGGAAUGCGUAGAUAUCGGGAGGAACACCUGUGGCGAAGGCGGCUUCCUGGCCCGCACCUGACGCUAAGACGCGAAAGCGUGGGGAGCGAACAGG